AUGGGUUUUCAUGAUAUUCACUGCUUCAACUUGGCGUUGCUCACUAAAUAGGCGGGGUGCCUUCUGGAUAACCCCGAUUCUUUGUGUGCUUCUAUUCUAAAGGCAAAGUACUACCCUGAUGGUGACUUGAUGAGUGCUGCAAAGAAAAGGAUCUUUUUUACAUGGCUGAGCAUUAUGGCGGGCAUUAUUACCCUGAAACGAGGCUAUAUCUGGCGAGUGAGGAAUGGACAAAAAAUAAAUAUUUGAAAAGAUGCUUGGAUCCCAAACUGUGCUAAUAGAAUAAUUGUAACACCGAGGNNNNNNNNNNNNNNNNNNNNNGUAGAUGAUCUCAUUGAUCCUAUCUCCAAUAACUGGGAUGAAGAACUCAUUAGACAAACUAUGUGGCCCAUCGAUAUACAACGGAUUCUUUCAGUUCCACUCCCGCAACAUGAUAUGCCAGAUUUUAUUGCUUGGAGCUAUACAAAAAAUGGCAUGUUCUCGGUUCGGUCAGCAUAUUCCAUCGAGUGGGAAAACCAGUAUGGUAAUAAAUUAAAAUACUCCAAUGAAAUGGGCCGAGCCACAGUUAACCCUAUUUGGAGUAAAAUAUGGAAAUUAUCUUGCCCGGCAAAAGUGAAAUUUUUAUGGCGUACGCUCCAUGAAACUCUCCCAUGCCGAGUUACGCUUGCUAAUAGACAUAUCAAAGUUUCGCCCACUUUGCCCACUUGCUCUGAGGGCUUAGAAGAUACAACCCAUAUGUUUUUCCGUUGUAGGAAAGCAAAGGACGUUUGGAAAAGGCUGGGAAUAAACGAUAUUAUC
rnacentral:rRNA from 1 species